rnacentral:rRNA from 1 species
AGCAGCCGCGGUAAUUCCAGCUCCAAUAGCGUAUAUUAAAGUUGUUGCAGUUAAAAAGCUCGUAGUUGAAUUUCGGGAUCAAUUUGCUGGUCGUGCCUUCGGUACGCACUGGUAUUAUUGGUUUCUCCUUUCUGAUGAAUCGCGAUGUCAUUAAUUUGGUGUCGUGGGGAAUCAGGACCGUUACUUUGAAAAAAUUGAGUGUUUAGAGCAGGCUCACGCUUGAAUACAUUAGCAUGGAAUAAUGAAAUAGGACGUUUGAUUCUAUUUUGUUGGUUUCUAGGAUCGACGUAAUGAUUAAUAGGGAUAGUUGGGGGCAUUAGUAUUCAAUUGUCAGAGGUGAAAUUCUUGGAUUUAUUGAAGACUAACUACUGCGAAAGCAAUUUGCCAAGGAUGUUUUCAUUAAUCUAAGAACGAAAGUUAGGGGAUCGAAGACGAUCAGAUACCGUCGUA